GUGGGGAAUCUUGCGCAAUGGGCGAAAGCCUGACGCAGCCAUGCCGCGUGAAUGAUGAAGGUCUUAGGAUUGUAAAAUUCUUUCACCGGGGACGAUAAUGACGGUACCCGGAGAAGAAGCUCCGGCUAACUUCGUGCCAGCAGCCGCGGUAAUACGAAGGGGGCUAGCGUUGCUCGGAAUUACUGGGCGUAAAGGGCGCGUAGGCGGACAGUUUAGUCAGAGGUGAAAGCCCAGGGCUCAACCUUGGAAUUGCCUUUGAUACUGGCUGUCUGGAGUACGGGAGAGGUGAGUGGAAAUCCGAGUGUAGAGGUGAAAUUCGUAGAUAUUCGGAAGAACACCAGUGGCGAAGGCGACUCACUGGCCCGUUACUGACGCUGAGGCGCGAAAGCGUGGGGAGCAAACAGGAUUAGAUACCCUAGUAGUCC
rnacentral:rRNA from 1 species